AAUCAAUAUUUGGUGGAAUAACCCUGGUUGGUUUUUAAUCACAGUUAUUUUCCAUGCAUCUUGGCAUCAUGUUCUCCUCCACCAGUCUUACACACUGCUUUUGGAUAACUUUAUGCUGCUUUACUCCUGGUGCAAAAAUUCAAGCAGUUCAGUUUGGUGGUUUGAUGGCUUGUGAUCAUCCAUCUUCCUCUUGAUUAUAUUCCAGAGGUUUUCAAUUUGGUAAAAUCAAGGAAAAACCUCAGCAUUAAGUGGUUUCUUAAUUUUUGUUUUUCCAGAGCUGUACGUUUUUUUGUUGGUGCCACAGUGGGAAAAAAGAAGUGCCAGCUUAAGUACACUAAUAUUACUACUUUACUACAUUCAGAAUCUUGAAAUCUAAACCCUUGGCACAUAAAAUACGACAGUGCCUUGUACAAGACACGCAUGUAUUGUUAAUGUUAGAUAUUGAUAGUGUGUUAUAGAAUAGAAAAUACAUUUGUAUGCAUCUCCUUUUUUGAAGCAACACACACACUUCAAACAUUCCUAACAUUUUUGUUUUAUGUAUGUGGAUACAAUUACAAGUAAUACAUAGCCUCACGUGCCCUGAGAGAUGUUGUAUAGAAUUUCUGAAUACUUGUAUCUUUAAGAUUUUAUCAAACAGGGCAUCAAUGUUCUGCAGUUACUGUACACAUUACAUUAAUAAGCCUGCAGGUAAGGAAUUAAAAAUGCUUUUUAAAAAUCUUUUUUUUUUUUAUGAGCUAUAUCUUUAUAUUAUCUCAAUUCUGUUUAAAACUUAUACCAGUUAAAGCAAAAGAGGCAUCGGCUGUUAUUCACAUAUCUGUUUCACAUAUAUAUAAAACACAGGAAAGCAUUGCAGAGUGCAGCAUUGCUGAAUCAUGUCUUGCCUUAAAUAUCUUACUUUCUCUUCAGAAGACAUCGGUUGGUUGAUUAAUUGGUUGGUUGGUUGAUUGGUGGGUUGGUUGGUCAUUGAAACUGCUAAGGUGUAACUUACAAGUGUUUUACUGUGAAGAAUUGCUAUGCAGUCUGAAUAAACUACAGGUUUAAUCAACAGCAGCUUACUGCUCUAGAAACUGACCAUGUUUAUGCAUUAUCCUAAUUUUACUUGCAUGCAAUUCAUCAUACAUUCUUUAACAAUAAAAUUCUUCAUGUUUUUUUGCAUUGUCAAAAAGUCACUCAAUUUGAAACAGUGUUGUUUCAGAGACAUUGGGGAUGUGUCAUGUUGAACGACGAGCAUACCUUGAUAUGUAUUUGUUGAGAAACAGUGAAUUGUGAAUUUAACGGUGAAUAAAUAAAGUUUCAGAUGUUGUGGCCCAAGAAA